UACGUAGGGUCCGAGCGUUGUCCGGAAUUACUGGGCGUAAAGAGCUCGUAGGUGGUUUGUCGCGUUGUUCGUGAAAACUCACAACUCAAUUGUGGGCGUGCGGGCGAUACGGGCAGACUGGAGUACUGCAGGGGGAGACUGGAAUUCCUGGUGUAGCGGUGGAAUGCGCAGAUAUCAGGAAGAACACCGGUGGCGAAGGCGGUUCUCUGGCAAUGUACUGACGCUGAGGAGCGAAAGUGUGGGGAGCGAACAGG
rnacentral:rRNA from 1 species